UACGGAGGGUGCGAACGUUAAUCGGAAUUACUGGGCGUAAAGCGCGCGUAGGCGGUUCGGCAAGUGGGAUGUGAAAGCCCCGGGCUUAACCUGGGAAUUGCGUUCCAAACUACCGGGCUAGAGUAUGGUAGAGGGAGGUAGAAUUUCCUGUGUAGCGGUGAAAUGCGUAGAUAUAGGAAGGGAUACCGGUGGCGAAGGCGGCCUCCUGGACCAAUACUGACGCUGAGGUGCGAAAGCGUGGGGAGCAAACAGG
rnacentral:rRNA from 1 species